AGGGAAUCUUCCACAAUGGACGCAAGUCUGAUGGAGCAACGCCGCGUGAGUGAAGAAGGUUUUCGGACCGUAAAGCUCUGUUGUUGGUGAAGAAGGAUAGAGGUAGUAACUGGCCUUUAUUUGACGGUAAUCAACCAGAAAGUCACGGCUAACUACGUGCCAGCAGCCGCGGUAAUACGUAGGUGGCAAGCGUUGUCCGGAUUUAUUGGGCGUAAAGCGAGCGCAGGCGGAAGAAUAAGUCUGAUGUGAAAGCCCUCGGCUUAACCGAGGAAUUGCAUCGGAAACUGUUUUCUUGAGUGCAGAAGAGGAGAGUAGAACUCCAUGUGUAGCGGUGGAAUGCGUAGAUAUAUGGAAGAAUACCAGUGGCGAAGGCGGCUCUCUGGUCUGCAACUGACGCUGAGGCUCGAAAGCAUGGGUAGCGAACAGGAUUAGAUACCCUGGUAGUCCAUGCCGUAAACGAUGAGUGCUAAGUGUUGGGAGGCUUCCGCCUCUCAGUGCUGCAGCUAACGCAUUAAGCACUCCGCCUGGGGG
rnacentral:rRNA from 1 species